GCGUAUUCUCAGGGCGGGGUGAAAUUCCCCACCGGCGGUAUGUGGGGCGUGACCUUACGAGCCCGCGAGCGGCCUUUCCCGAACUGAAGGGUUUCAGCAGAUCUGGUGAGAUGCCAGAGCCGACGGUCAUAGUCCGGAUGAAAGAGAAUGCGA
rnacentral:ncRNA from 2 species